CUGUUUCGUAAUGCCUUGCAAGGAAAUCUUUGUCGGCAUCACCCCCUAAUGUCCCAGACACACCAAAUAUCCCAUUCCCUUUUAGGUACUUUUGAAAGUAAUGGAAGUUUGAAAGGUAAUUAGUCACAUUGGACAAAGUAGUGGUUGCCAGCUGGUGUUUCAUCUCCAGAAACUGCUGCAGGCCGUCCCCCCAGCGUUUGUUCUUCUCCAACACUCCACUGGCCUGGAAGUCCACUGGGAUGAUAGCAUGGUAGUGAUGCUUGUCUCCGACAGCUUCCAAGGUCUGAUCAAUCAUGUACUCUCUGCCUUGUGUCAUCAUGAUGGCUUUCAGGGCGUUUUCCACAAAGACUGGUAACUGAUUCUCAAGGUACUUCUCAAGGAAAGAGGGGAUCACAAGAAACUCUGAGUUUGACUGAGAGCUGCCAGAAUAUUUGAUUUUAGACUUCAGCUCAGAGACUGUUGCCUUAAUGAGUUUGUCUUCAGGUAUGAUCUCGCUGGCUCGUCCAUUCUCGAGGAGAAGCAUUUUGAUUUCCAGGAUAUCAGGGUUGUUGUGCAACUUUUUCUCCUCAACCAGCACGGCUUUAUUGUUUGUCACAGAGUAACAGUCAAUGGCCACAUCAUUCUCCAGUGCUUUCUCCAUGAUGGUGAGCAGAUCACACUGUUGAGUAAUUCCAACUUUGGCCAAGAAUGUAUCAACAGUUAUCCUGUUCUCCGUUGUAUCGUCAUUCUCUGUGUUCUCUAGAGCAUGCAUGAACAUAUCAAAAUCUUCAUCUGAAUAGAUACCCAACUCCACUCCGGCUUCCAAAAUGUGAAAUUCAGAGAAUUCUUUAGAUGUCGCUGGACCGAUAACAGCUAACUUUGCAGCCUUGUGAAAAUGCUGGAUUCCAGUUGCCCACUCAAUCUCUCCAGUAUCUUCCAUCUCAAUUGGCUGACACAUAGAUACCAUGGCCCAUAUGCUAGCAAGGACUUGUCCGAGGUGCCUCAGGCCACUUGCCUCGUGGGAUAGAAACGUCACCUGAACUCCAUUGUCCAAGGUCAUGUAGUCCACUUCAUCCACAAUCACCAUGUCGAACCUCCUCUCCCCACGUGUGGUGUCCUUCUCGAAUUCCUGCCUCAAUGCGUCUGCUGCAAAGCUGGCAACGGUUCCGUAAACUAAUUGUUUCCUGUAAGCCUCCUGUAGCAUACUAUCCCUGCUUUCAGGGGAGCUUCCCUGUAUCUGUGGUGGUGGCACAACAGAGGAUGUGACACCAAACAUGUCAUACAGUUUCUUCCACUCCUCUUGGUCUCGGCGAGCAAGGACUGGAGAACUGGUCACAACGUCAACCUUAGUGCCACGGAUGGCCUGGAUGGUGGCAAACAUAGCCAAGAUGCAAGAUUUUCCUUCACCUGUGCCGAUUUCCAGAAGGAUACCUUUUUUCCCUGUUAACUUUGGUAGAAGGAGCAUGAGCAGUGAUGCCAACUGAGUGAGUCGGGGAAAGUAGCCUUCUAUUUUCUCAGCAGUGUGCAGUGAUUCCAGCGGAGUGAUGCUAGGAAAGUAGCCUUCUAUGUUUUUACCGUUUUGAGUGUAAAUGGUUGAGCAGUCUUGCACAGCAAUAGACAUCCUUAUUAGGACCUCCUUGAGAACAGCAAGGUCAGGGUUAGUAAAAUCCAGUGACUUGAUCAUCUGCUUUGCUUCCUCUAUCUUUACCUGAUCCAAGUCCUCCUUUGCAUGUUUUGGAAGUUCCUCUGUCAUAUAUCCUAGAAUUUCCUUCAUUAUGGACAAUAUUUUCUCUGGGUACUUUUCAUUUUGCAUUUCAUUCACAAUGGUGUCGGCAUCCUUGUUCCCUUCUGCCUCAGCAUACCAUUGUAGAGAGUUGACAGGGUCUUUACCUUUCAAGGCAGAGAGAGUAGAGAGAAGAUCCAGCUUGUUUGUCCUCACAGUAUGAAGGAUUGAGGUUGCUAACUCUUGGUUUAUGCCUGAAACACCUCGCAAAAAGAGCAGAAUUUCUGCAGGUGUCCAGAUCAUGUUGAAGAGAAUUUGACUAAGGAGCCCCUUGUUUUUCUCUGACACCUCUGUGAACACAUCAAGAAUGCUCAGAACAAGUUGUUGAGCCACUGUGGGAUUUGUGCUGUACAGCUGUUCAAGAAGACGGAUGAGAAAGUCACACUUCUGGUCCCAGUCAAGUAGUUGGUCCUCUUUACUGUCUGUGUCCGAGUCAUUGGUCAACGUUAGCUCUGUCACAGCCGUGAGGAUGCUAAACUGCUCAGUGAGCGAUUGCUCUCCUUGGCUGAUAGCACGAUCUAUGGUCAACUGACACCAGAUUGACAGUUGAGGCUCUCCAAAGUAUUUAAGGGUUAGUUCAUUCUGAAGAGUUUUCAUUCUGUUUUCAAGUUUGUCCUCCUGCAUGCCUUUGUCUUCAGUGAUCUCGUAUUUCUUCAGAAGAUCUUCAAACUUAUUUUUCAAGUCCCA
ensembl:lncRNA